rnacentral:rRNA from 1 species
AAAAUAAAAUUUGAUUUUAAAAAAAUUUAAUUCUUAAACUAGGAUUAGAUACCCUAUUAUUUUAAGCUUAAUGUUGGUAGUAAGUAAAAAUUAUGAAAUCAUAAAAUUUUGGCGGUAUUUUAAGCUUGUUAGAGGAAUUUGCUCUAUAAUGGAUACAACGCCUAUAUCUUACUUAAUUUUGUAAUUAAAGUCAGUUUGUAUACCACUAUAUUUAAUUAUAUUGAAUAAUUAUAUUUAAGAUUUUUAUACAAAUAUAUAUUAAGUCAAGGUGCAACAAAUAAUUA